UGGCGACGAGGAUGGGAUUCGAACCCACGCGGGCAAAGCCCAAUGGAUUAGCAAUCCAUUGCCUUAACAACUCCCCCUUUUUUAAGAUAGC